rnacentral:rRNA from 3 species
UGGGGAAUAUUGCACAAUGGGGGAAACCCUGAUGCAGCGACGCCGCGUGAGUGAAGAAGUAUCUCGGUAUGUAAAGCUCUAUCAGCAGGGAAGAAAAUGACGGUACCUGACUAAGAAGCCCCGGCUAACUACGUGCCAGCAGCCGCGGUAAUACGUAGGGGGCAAGCGUUAUCCGGAAUUACUGGGUGUAAAGGGUGCGUAGGUGGUAUGGCAAGUCAGAAGUGAAAACCCAGGGCUUAACUCUGGGACUGCUUUUGAAACUGUCAGACUGGAGUGCAGGAGAGGUAAGCGGAAUUCCUAGUGUAGCGGUGAAAUGCGUAGAUAUUAGGAGGAACAUCAGUGGCGAAGGCGGCUUACUGGACUGAAACUGACACUGAGGCACGAAAGCGUGGGGAGCAAACAGG